UGAGCCCUGCCGCUCCUGGUCCUCAGGCCAGACGCUCAGCCCUGGGCCAGUCGGGCUGCUUAGAACCCAAGCUGUGAGAAGCCAGGAGGGGCGAGAGGGGGCCCUGCCCUCUGCCUCCCAACCAGGAACCCAGCGCCCUCGGUCAGGGGCCAGACCAGUCCUGCCCAACGAAGGGGCAGCUCCCAGUUCUGCGAGGUCUGGUUCCAAAACCGCCGCGCCAAGUGGAGGAAGAAGGAGAACACCAAGAAGGGCCCGGGGCGGCCGGCGCACAACUCCCACCCGACCACGUGCAGCGGGGAGCCGAUGGACCCGGAGGAGAUCGCGCGCAAGGAGCUGGAGAAGAUGGAGAAAAAGAAGCGGAAGCACGAGAAGAAGCUGCUCAAGAGCCAGAGCCGCCACCUGCACUCGCCCGGCGGCCUGUCCCUGCACAGCGCGCCCAGCUCCGACAGCGACAGCGGCGGCGGC
rnacentral:lncRNA from 1 species